rnacentral:lncRNA from 1 species
AUCGAGCCAACCUCGUCUGAUGAGCUCCUCGAUCUCAUCUCGGAGCUGAAUACACUCCUCCGUGUCGUGGCCGUGGUCAUGAUGAUAGAGGCAGAACUUGUUAGGAUUGUGCAUCUCGGGAUGUGUGUGCAUCCUUUUCGGCCUUGGCAGCUGUUCCCUAACCUCCAUCAGCACUUGAGUUUUCAAUGUGUUGAGAGGAGCAUAGCUGUGGAAUCUUU